rnacentral:rRNA from 1 species
CUACGUGCCAGCAGCCGCGGUAAUACGGAAGGUCCGGGCGUUAUCCGGAUUUAUUGGGUUUAAAGGGAGCGUAGGCCAGAGAUUAAGUGUGUUGUGAAAUGUAGACGCUCAACGUCUGACUUGCAGCGCAUACUGGUUUCCUUGAGUACGCACAACGUUGGCGGAAUUCGUCGUGUAGCGGUGAAAUGCUUAGAUAUGACGAAGAACUCCGAUUGCGAAGGCAGCUGACGGGAGCGCAACUGACGCUUAAGCUCGAAGGUGCGGGUAUCGAACAGGAUUAGAUACCCUGGUAGUCCGCACAGUAAACGAUGGAUGCCCGCUGUUGGUACCUGGUAUCAGCGGCUAAGCGAAAGCAUUAAGCAUCCCACCUGGGGAGUACGCCGGCAACGGUGAAACUCAAAGGAAUUGACGGGGGCCCGCACAAGCGGAGGAACAUGUGGUUUAAUUCGAUGAUACGCGAGGAACCUUACCCGGGCUUGAA